rnacentral:lncRNA from 1 species
AUCCAAGUUACCUAAAAGGCUAAUUCCUAAUGAGAAGGAAAGGAAACAUACCAUAAAGUAAAAGUGCAAACAAUUGCAAAACAGAGGCAAACAGUGUCAGUUGGAUAUACGUAAGCGCUGAUGUAAAGAGAGAUUGGAAAUGAUAUAUCUGGCUGGGCAGGUCACUCAUGCCUGUAAUCCCAGCACUUUGGGAGGCUGAGGCAGGCAGAUCACCUAAGGCCAGGAAUUCGACACCAGCCUGGCCAACGUGGCAAAACCCGUCUCUACUAAAAAUACAAAAAUUAGCCGGGCGUGGUGGUGUGCGCCUGGAAUCCCAGCUACCCAGGAGGCUGAGGCAGGAGAAAUGCUGGAACCCGGGAGGCAGAGGCUGCAGUGAGCUGAGAUCAUGCCACUACUGCACUCCAGCCUGGGUGACACAGCAAGACUCCCUCUAAAAAAAGAAAAAAAGAAAAGAAAAGAAAAGAAAAUGAUAUAUCCAUGAUGAAUUAAAAUGGAGUGGAACCCACUGAUGGUAUGCAGCUGAUAAGACGCUAUAGAGAAAUGAUAUCCGGACACAUGCCUGGGCAACAAGAGCGAAACCCCAUCUCAAAACCACAACAACAACAACAGGACAACAGAGAUGGACGACGGAUCGGGAAAGCCAACCAGACAGCGUGAGGCCAGGACGGAAAGAGGCACAGGGAGCUCUGCUCAGUGUCGCUACAGGGGAUCUCUCAGGCUCACAACGGGCCACUCCUCUAGGGAAGUUCUGGUCUCAUCAUGAUCCUUGUUUGGUCUCACUCCCCAUGUCCUUCUCUGUCCCUCCUCCAACUGCCAUUUAUUUAUUUAACUGAAAAAGUACCAAUCACCCACAUAGGCAUGACAUACUCAUCCAUGUACCCAUUUCUUAAAAUUGAUCAUUGUUAACAUUUGGUGUAAUUUGCUUUAUUUAUUUUUAAUGAAAUAAAUAAAACUUUACAGAAAAUGCUUUAUUUUUCUCUUUGUUCCCUCCCCAUCCUAUAUUUUUCUCCUAAAAAACCCUAUUAUCAGAAAUAUUAGUGUGUAUUCCCAGUUUCGACUUUUUAUUUUAUUACACACACACUCCCACACAUAGCUGUGACAAUGAACUUCACAUAGUAUGGUUCUGUAUUUUCUCUUUGUUUUUCAAACUUACAUAAGUAUUUUACUAUUUCUCAUGGAAAAACUCACUUUUCCCAUCCAACGUUAUGUUUCCUUAAGAUCUCUCUAUGUUGAUAUAAAGAAAUCUAGCUCAUUCUUUUUAAUGAAAAUAAAGUAUAUUUUAUGAAUGUAACUCAUGCUAACCAUGGCAAUAAAAGCUCCAUCAAGCAUGCAU